CGGGGCAGUUGGGUAAACGGGGGCAACGGUAAACGAGGACUCAUGGAGGAGAGGACGGGAAGGACAGCAGCCAAACCAGAUUAUUCCUUAACAGACUGCCACAGGUGGACACAGAGCGGGAGAACGUCUCUGCUCCUCGAUGCUGCUCACGGUUUCAAAAAGAUGAUGAGCUCGACUCCAUCAGCGGCGUCGAACAGCUGAGCGGAGGGACGCACACUUUACUGUACAUGUCACAUCCUGAGGAGUCGAAGCCAGGGAGCAGAGAGCGGAUCAGAAACCUUCUUUUCAUUCAUUACGGAGGAUAAUUAAUGUGUAUUUUUAUUCCUAUGGCUUAACAUUUAGCUGUUUCUAUUUGCCAUCAUUUCAUUGUUUUUCAUUUUUAACUGACCUGCACAGCCUGUCACGGUUUUGUAAAGCUGUUGCCGUUUUUACAUCUUUUAUAUUCCAUGAUUAUCAGUGUUUGUUUAUGAUGAGGAAAUUGACCUGAAGACCUCAAUUAACACGACGUAUCUCAGUUUCUCCCCUAAUUUAUUAAAGAGCAGUCUCCAGUUUGCCUUUGUCAGAGCCUUCAGAGCAGGACAUGGGAACAAGUGUUUCAGCCGGGCCACCAUGUACAUACACUUUUCUAGAGCUGAUGAAGGCAAACUCAUAGUUGUUUGUGUAUAUUCUCCAUGAACAUUGAAUGUGCAUUAACUUCUCUGCUUCGUUAUAAUCUUUGUUCUUACUCUGGAUGCUGAUUUGUUCAUUCUUGAAAAAGGUAAAUUGCCAUGUAAUUUGUAGCUUACCUUGGUGACACAUUUUUCUGUGGCUGUGCAUAUUGAUUGUACUUGAUGCAUAGUGCAUAGCGCCUUGUUACUACUGUAUUAAAAGGCAGUAAAAUGCA